AUGGCUAGCUUGGAAGGUUUCGAGUUCUUCGAGAUCGUAAUUGAGAAAUCUUGCAGUAGGCAGAGGCUGCCUGACAAGUUUGCGAAGAUGCUCGCCGGCCGUGAGCCCCACAAAGUGAAGCUGCGGGAGGCCGGCAGCGGGCUUCGCAGGCUGUGGGACGUGUUGGUGGUGUUCGAUGGCGAAGGCCACAUGCACCUAGGGCCCGACUGGGAUCAUUUCGCCCGCGCCCAUGAGCUACAGCUCGGGCACUUCCUUGUCUUCCGCUACGAUGGCGACGCCAUGUUCACCGUGAAGAUGUUCGGCAACACCAUGUGCCGCAUGUACUACCAGCACAACGACGAUGCUAGCAAUGGGAGCAGCAGCGGGGAUGACGAGGAGCAGAGCGGGGAUGACGAGGAGCAGCCUAUACUGGCUGACGAAGACCCUGCUAUGGUGGUGGCGGAUGACGACCUUGCUAUGAUGGUGGCCGACGACGACCCUGCUAUGGUGGUGGCGGACGACGACCUUGCUAUGGUGGCUGACGAUGACCUCGCGAUUGUGGUGCCUAAUGAUGACCUCGCAAUGGUGGUGCCUGACAAUGACCUCAUGAUGGUGGUGGCGCCUGCAAUCCCACAGCUUGGCGACAUGACCAUGCCAAUUGUGGUUGAGGAGUACAUCCGCGUCGGGAUUCGCCACUCUGAGCGCAUAAGGUUGAUGAAGGAGAAGAAGGAGGAGUGA
rnacentral:rRNA from 1 species